rnacentral:lncRNA from 1 species
UGAGAAAGCCCAUAUCAGUUAUAAAUCCACAAUUCAAUAAAAUGACUUGAAAUACAGCGUUUCCAAGAAUCAGAAAUGGAAUUUCCAUUUAAUAGAAAACAAGACAUCAGAAUGUUGAAUUAGUGGCCAAGUGGCCAACUUUUGGCUAAAUAAAAUAAACAAAAGGAGAUAGACAAUAUCAUUAUGUUUGUUGAAAAGAAAAAAAGGUUAUGAUGAUGUUUGUAGAAAAAGAGGUAAAGGCUAGCAAGUAGCCUUAUUAUUGGUUUUGUUUAUUGGGUAUUUUAUGAUGGAUGAAUGUGAGCAUACAGAAGUGAGAGAGGUAGAGUACACCAUUUUCUGUUUUCGAAGCCCAUCUUUGAGAGAGAAAAGGCAGCUGCAGAAAACAGAAAACUGAGCAGAAAAAGAAGAAGGUGCUCUUCUCUUUGGUUAGUAAUCACCCACCAAGGCAGUUGUUGUUGUAAUAGCUUUGAGCUUUGUAUAGAGAAGAAAUUAUUCACAAUAUUUCUUUCUCUAUUUGUUUCUUUGGUGUGUGAGAGCUAUUGGUUGUAUUGGGGGUUUUUGGGUUGUGAGCUUGCCAACACUUUGUAAACUCCCAUUUGGUUGAUAGUGGAUUAUUGGGUGAGCUCCUACUGCUUCGAGGACGUACUCCAGUUACACUGACUGUUGAGGAACCUCGUUAAAAUCUUGGUGUCUUUUAUAUUUUGUUCUUGCAUUCCAUUUGAUAUAUUUCUUGUGGGUUAGCUUGAGUUGGUUCAAACAGGUUUGGUGCUAUCCUAGCACAACAAAUUGUAUCAGAGCACUGGUUGCUCUUGGGUACUGUCUAGUUGCCAAAUAUGUCAGACGGGCAAGAUGAGAAUCCUUUUGGAAGCAACUCCGGGUUUACAAGAACUACGGUGCAAAAUGCAAAGUUCGAAGUGGAAAAAUUUGAUGGCACAAACAACUUCGGGAUUUGGCAAUGUGAGGUCAAAGAUGUGUUGGUUCAACAAGAUCUACUUGGCGCUUUGGGAGAGAAGCCGGAAGCUAUGUCGAAGCCGGAAUGGGAGAAAUUAAAUUUAUGGGCUUGCUCUUCAAUUCGGUUGUGCCUUGCAAAAACUUAGAAGUAUUUUGUGAUGCGGGAGACAUUUGCAAGUGUGUUGUGGCAAAAAUUGGAAGACAAGUAUAUGAUGAAGAGUGCAGAGAACCGGCUACACUUGAAGAAAAAGCUCUACCGCUUCCAAUACAAAGAAGGUACAAAAAUGAUUAAACACCUUGAUACUUCUAAUAAUAUUAAGGAUGAAGAUAAGGCCUUAAUAUUGUUGAAUUCCUUGCCGAACUCUUAUGAGCAUUUUGUUACCACUAUUAUGCAUGGUAAAGAAACUGUGAAAUUUGAAGAUGUGUCAAAUGCCUUGAUGAGUUAUGAAAUAAGGUAUAGAGAUAAAAAUCAUAAUAGUACCUCUGAAGCUUUAUUUGUUAGAGGUAGAUCAUCGGAGAGAAUAUCAUCUUCUAGUAGGAAAAAAUCACACUCUCGACCUAGAGGAAACUCUAAAGGUAGAAAAACCUUGGAAAGGGAUGAAUGUGCCUUUUGUCAUAAUAAGGGCCAUUGGAAGAAAGAUUGUCCUAGGUUGAAAACCAAAGGCAAAGAAAGUUCUGAAGCUAAUGUUGCUGAGGUUGAAACAGAUUUUUCUGAUUUUGCUUUAACCACUUCCUCAUCAUUUGAUUGUGCUACUAAGUGGGUGUUGGAUACGGGUUGUAAGCAUCAUAUGACUCUCACAAGGAUUGAUUUUCAAGCUUGAAAGAGUUUGAUGGUGGUGUUGUUUUCAUGGGAGAUGACAAUCCUUGUACAACAAAAGGGAUUGGUACAGUUCGUUUGAAGUUGCAUGAUGGCAUGGUUAAAGAGUUGACAGGUGUUCGAUAUGUACCGAAUUUGAAGAAAAAUCUUAUUUCUUUGGGCACUUUAGAAUCCAAGGGCUUCAAAUUUCAUUCAAAUGGGCAGACAUUGAAAGUUACUUAUGGUGCACUUGUUGUGAUGAAAGCUCCUCGAUGUGGUCAUUUGUAUCUAUUGCAAGGAAGCACCGUGACAGGUGAAGCGUCUGUAGUCUCAGAAAAUAUGGGCACAUCUGAUUCAGAAACUACUAGACUGUGGCAUAUGAGAUUAGGACAUGCCGAUAAGAAAGCUCUACAAGGGCUUGUGAAAAAGGGUCUUCUAAAAGGUGUCACGACUUGUAAGCUUGAUUUCUGCGAGCAUUGUGUCUUGGGAAAGCAAACUAGAGUGAAGUUUGGUACUGCAGUAUAUCAGACGAAGGGCAUUCUUGAUUAUGUGCAUUCGGAUGUUUGGGGUCCUACAAAGACUCCCUCUUUGAGUGGUAGACAUUGGUUCGUAACCUUUGUAGAUGAUUAUUCUAGAAGGUCUUGGGUCUACACUAUGAAGCACAAGAGUGAGGUGUUGAGCAUUUUCUUGAGUUGGAAGAAAAUGGUUGAGAACCAGACUGGGAGAAAGAUUAAGAUUUUGAGAUCGGAUAAUGAUGGAGAAUACACAUCCGACCCUUUCUUUAAAGUUUGCAAAGAGGAAAGGAUUGUGAGACAUUUUAGUGUCCGGGGAACUCCACAACAAAAUGGAGUUGCAGAAAGAUUGAAUCGAACCUUGCUUGAGAAGGUUAGAUGUAUGUUGUCUCAGUCGGGUUUAAGCAAGUCAUUUUGGGCAGAGGCAGUUAAUUAUGCAUGUCACAUCAUCAACCGAUUACCCUCAGCUGCUGUUCAGGGUAAGACACCAAUGGAGGUAUGGACUGGAAAACCUUCUUCUGAUUAUGACUAUAUCCGUAUUUUUGGUUCACCUGCUUAUUUUCAUGUGACUGAAAAUAAACUUGAUCCUAGAGCCAAAAAGGCUAUCUUUCUUGGUUUUAAUAGUGGUGUCAAAGGUUAUAGAUUGUGGUGCCCAGAGAUGAAGAAACUUGUAAUUAGCAGAGAUGUGACAUUUGAUGAAGAAAGUAUGUACAAAGACUCUGAGAAGAAUGUGAAAGAUGUCCAACAGGUGGAGCUUGAGAAAGUUGCCUCUGGUACUUCAAGUCCUAUUUUCGCUGAUGUCGAAGCUACUACAAGUGAAGAAGUUAGAGAUCAUGAGGAUGUUGAAGAAGUUGAAUUUGAAGAUUCUAUUCAAGUUGAAGAGGAAGUUUCACCUCAAAAGUCUAUUGCCAAGAACAGAGGAAAGAGACAAAUUACCAAGCCAGCUCGGUAUAGUGACUAUGUUGUUUUUGCUCUUCCUAUUAUCAUUGAUGAGAUUCCAUCCAAUUUCGAGGAAGUCAUUGAGAGUGAGGAGAAGGAGAGGUGGUGCAAUGCCAUGGGUGAUGUGAUGAAUUCUCUCUUAAAGAACAAGACUUGGGAGUUAGCUAAAUUGCCUAAGGGCAAGAAAGCUAUCGGUUGCAAAUGGGUGUAUGCCAAGAAGGAAGAUGUUGAUGAGAAAAGCAAUGUGAGAUUCAAAGCAAGAUUAGUUGCUAAAGGGUAUGCACAAAAGGAAGACAUUGACUACAAUGAAAUCUUUUCUCCGGUUGUGAAGCACUCCUCAAUUCGCAUUAUGUUAGCUCUUGUUGCACAGUAUGAUCUUGAGCUUGUGCAACUUGAUGUGAAGACGGCUUUCCUACAUGGUGAUUUGAAUGAAGAGAUCUAUAUGUGUCAACCGGAUGGGUAUACAGUGAAAGGGAAAGAGAAUUUGUUUUACAAAUUGAAGAAAUCACUUUAUGGCUUGAAGCAAUCUCCAAGGCAAUGGUAUUUGAGGUUCGAUAAAUUUAUGAGAGGCUAGAAUUAUUCUACAAGUAAAUAUGAUCAUUGUGUGUACUUCAAGAAUUUGCAAGAUGGGUCUUUCAUUUAUUUGUUGAUAUAUGUUGAUGAUGUGUUGAUUGCCUCAAAGAAUGUUGAAGAGAUUGAGAAAUUGAAGAAGCAAAUAAAGAAUGAGUUUGAGAUGAAGGAUCUUGGUGAAGCGAAGAUCCUUGGCAUGGAGAUCACUAGAGAUAGAGAGAAGGGUUUGGUCAGUUUGAAUCAAAGACAAUACCUUGAGAAGUUGAUCCUGAAAUUUGGAGUUCAUGAUUCAACCAAACCGGUUAGUACCCCUUUGGCUCCUCAUUUUAAAUUGAGUUCUCUACAGUGUCCUAAAACUGAUAAAGAGAAGCUGCAAAUGAAAAAUAUACCAUAUGCAAAUUUGGUUGGUAGUUUGAUGUAUGCAAUGGUAUGCUCUAGACCGGAUAUUGCUCAUGCAGUUGGCAUGGUGAGUCGAUAUAUGCAUAAUCCAGGUAAAGAGCAUUGGCAAGCAGGUAAGUGGAUAUUGAGGUAUCUCCAUGGUACUCAAGAUGUUGGUUUAUGUUUUGAGAGAGAUGACUUUGGUAUUGGUCAUUUUGCAGUUGGUGAUGUUGAUUCAGAUUAUGCAGUUGAUCUGGAUGGAAGGAAGUCUACUAUAGGCUAAUUGUUUACUAUGGCUAAAGGGUCAGUUUGUUGGAGGUCCAUUUUGCAGUCGUUUGUUGCCUUGUCUACUACAGAGGAAUAUGGCAGUUGCUGAAGCUAUAAGUGAGGUCAUUUGGAUACAUGGGCUGAUUAGAGAUUUGGGGGUUGAUCAGAAGCAGGUGGAGGUACAUUGUGAUAGUCAGAGUGCCAUUUAUUUGGCUAAGUAUCAGGUUCAUCAUGCGAGGACCAAGCACAUAGAUGUGCGUUAUCACUUUGUGCGUGAAGUCGUUAGUGAAGGAGAGAUUAUUCUCCAAAAGAUUCCAACUAAAGACAACCCCGCUAAUAUGUUGACUAAGGUUGUUGGUGUAGCCAAGUUUGUUCAUUGCUUAAACUUGGCUCACAUUUUGCCUAUAUAAAGAAGGCGUUGAGCAAUAGGAGUUUUGGAGCAUUUGGCUAGGCAUGAGUUGUUCUCUUGCUAGUGUUUGGGAGUAAUUUUUGUGUUGAUUGUGUUGGUUGGCUUAUCCUGGCAUUUUCGGAACUUGGCCAAGGUGGAGAUUGUUGAAUUAGUGGCCAAGUGGCCAACUUUUGGCUAAAUAAAAUAAACAAAAGGAGGUAAACAACAUCAUUAUGUUUGUUGAAAAGAAAAAAACAUUAUGAUGAUGUUUGUAGAAAAAGAGGUAAAGGCUAGCAAGUAGCCUUAUUAUUGGUUUUGUUUAUUGGGUGUUUUAUGAUGGAUGAAUGUGAGCAUACGGAAGUGAGAGAGGUAGAGUACACCAUUUUCUGUUUUAGAAGCCCAUCUUUGAGAGAGAAAAGGCAGCUGCAGAAAACAGAAAACUGAGAGCAGAAAAAGAAGAAGAAGGUGCUCUUCUCUUUGGUUAGUAAUCACCCACCAAGGUAGUUGUUGUUGUAAUAGCUUUGAGUUUUGUAUAGAGAAGAAAUUAUUCACAAUAUUUCUUUCUCUAUUUGUUUCUUUGGUGUGUGAGAGUUAAUGGUUGUAUUGGGGUUUUUGGGUUGUGAGCUUGCCAACACUUUGUAAACUCCCAUUUGGUUGAUAGUGGAUUAUUAGGUGAGCUCCUACUACUCCGAAGGACCAACUCCAGUUACACUAACUGUUGAGGAACCUCGUUAAAAUCUUGGUCUUUUAUAUUUUGUUCUUGCAUUCCAUUUGAUAUAUUUCUUAUGGGUUAGCUUGAGUUGGUUCAAACGGGUUUGGUGCUAUCCUAGCACAACACAGAAAAACUGUCUCGUACCCAAUC